AUCCAGCUGACGAGUUCUAGGUAGGACGAAACGUGUCUCCUGGAU
rfam:Schistosoma haematobium scaffold161_18, whole genome shotgun sequence.